rnacentral:lncRNA from 1 species
CCGCUCCUGGGGGGCCUGCCCAGCCUCCACCCACCCCUCAACCCUCCAUGGCUGAUCUUCAGUUCUCUCAGCUUCUGGGGAACCUGCUAGGGCCUGCAGGGCCAGGGGCUGGAGGGUCUGGUGUGGCUUCUCCCACCAUCACUGUGGCGAUGCCUGGUGUCCCUGCCUUUCUCCAAGGCAUGACUGACUUCUUGCAGGUGAGUGGCUGGCUUGCCAUUCACCUCAUCUUCCUGUCCCCCGGCCCAGCCAGGCAGUGGUACCUUCUUGCCAUUAUAUAACCACUGGGUAAGAGCCCCUAGUGACAUGUUAGGGGAAGGGGCCCUGGGAAUUCAUUGACUCUGAACCUUUCAUUUUAAAGAUGAAGAAAAUGAGGUUUAGAAAAAGAAAGUAUAGUAAUUAGUGUCACUGCUUUCUGACAGCCUGUUCAGAGGAAGAGGUAGGUAAGUUGUGCUGCCUGACUCUGUUAAAUACCUACCAUACUUCUGCUUUAAGCAGUGAAGAUCAGAAUGUAACUCCCCAUCUUCCCAGACCCGUUGGUUUGUGCCCUCUUGAUGCCGUAUUAUUUCCGUGUGUCUUCAUUCUCACCUCACUUUCUGUUCUUUGUUCUUUCUUUAUUUGCCAGGCAACACAGACAGCCCCUCCACCACCCCCACCUCCUCCACCCCCACCACCUGCCCCAGAGCAGCAGACCAUGCCCCCACCAGGCUCCCCUUCUGGUGGCGCAGGGAGUCCUGGAGGCCUGGGUCUUGAGAGCCUGUCACCGGAGUUUUUUACCUCAGUGGUGCAGGGUGUGCUCAGCUCCCUGCUGGGCUCCCUGGGGGCUCGGGCUGGCAGCAGUGAAAGUAUUGCUGCCUUCAUACAACGCCUCAGUGGAUCCAGCAACAUCUUUGAGCCUGGAGCUGAUGGGGCCCUUGGAUUCUUUGGG